rnacentral:rRNA from 1 species
UACGGAGGGCGCAAGCUUUGUUCGGAAUUACUGGGCGUAAAGCGCGUGGAGGCGGCCAGGUAAGCCGGAUGUGAAAGCCCGGGGCCCAACCCCGGAACUGCACCCGAUACUGCCCGGCUGGAGUCCCGGAGAGGAUGGCGGAAUUUCCGGUGUAGAGGUGAAAUUCGUAGAUAUCGGAAGGAACACCAGUGGCGAAGGCGGCCAUCUGGACGGUGACUGACGCUGAGACGCGAAAGCGUGGGGAGCAAACAGG